rnacentral:sRNA from 1 species
GCAAAUGCUCCUGGGUGUUCUGCUGGAGCCGUGGGGAGUCAGUCUCGAGGACCUCAGGGGACAGCCGAAGCUCCCAUGACCUAACCCUAACUGAGGAGGGUGUGGGGCUGGGCAGCCGCCAGCUCCUCUCAGCCGGGAGGUCUGCGGCCUGGGCGCCCCUAACUUCAUGUGGUUCUUACCGGCAGUGGGUGAGUGUGAAGCGUCUGCCAUGCUGCCACUGGAGUGCCAGUACUUGAACAAAAACGCCCUGACGACCCUCGCGGGACCCCUCACUCCCCCGGUGAAGCAUUUUCAGUUAAAGCGGAAACCCAAGAGCGCCACGCUGCGGGCGGAGCUGCUGCAGAAGUCCACGGAGACCGCCCAGCAGUUGAAGCGGAGCGCCGGGGUGCCCUUCCACGCCAAGGGCCGGGGGCUGCUGCGGAAGAUGGACACCACCACCCCACUCAAAGGCAUCCCGAAGCAGGCGCCCUUCAGAAGCCCCACGGCGCCCAGCGUCUUCAGCCCCACGGGGAACCGGACCCCCAUCCCGCCUUCCAGGACGCUGCUGCGGAAGGAACGAG